rnacentral:tRNA from 1 species
UGGGGUAUAGCCAAGUGGUAAGGCAUUGGUUUUUGGUACCAUGAUCAUAGGUUCGAAUCCUAUUACUCCAA